rnacentral:lncRNA from 1 species
AUAACAACAACAAUAAUAAUAAUGCUAAUAAAAAUAAAUUAAUAAUAAUGUUAUUAUUAUUAAAAAAUAAUUAUUUUUAAAUAUUAUUAAUAUCUAAAAAUUAGUGAUUAUUAACUAUUAACUAUAAUUAUUUGAUUAUUAUUAUUUAUUAUUAUUAUAAACUAAUUAUUAUUAGUAGGGUUGUCAACAAGCUGAAUAUGAGUGAGUUAGGACUGGCUCGUGUUCGUUCAUUUAUUGAAUAAGUCGAACAUGAGUGAGUUUGUUAAAAAAUCGAGUUGAAAACUUCAGCUCGUGUUUGGCUUGUUUAUUAGCGAGUCAAAUAUGAGUUAACCAGCGAAUGAUAAGUUAAAUUACCAGCACUACUACUAGCGAGAAAAUUGAAAGAAAAUUUAAAAAUUAAAAUAUAUAAAAGGCUAAAUUAUAGAAAACUUCCAUAUUAAUACCCGUUUUUUCACUUUUCCCCUACGUCGUUAAAAAAUCUACACUUUACUCUCUUAAAAAAUAAAAAUAUUCAUAGCGGGGUACGCUAUGACAAAAUAACCAAAUUACCUCUCAUUUUCUUUCGGGUGGGCGUGGACGGAGAGAUGGGCGAGGGCGAGGGUGAGGUGGCGGAGGUGGGCGAGGGUGUGUGUGGGCAUGGACAGAGAGAUGGGCGAGGGUGAGGCGGCGGAGGGUGAGACGGUGCGGCCGAGGAUGAGUAUUAAGGAUGAGGGUUUUGGGGUUAUUUUGGGUAUAAAAAAUAGGAUAUAAACAGAACCGUAACGAAACACUGACGGCGGGGAUUAAAAUGAAUAUUUUUUUUUAAGGAGGCAAUGUAUGGGUUUUUGAAUGACAGGAGGAGAAAGUGAAAAAAAGGUAUUAACCGGAGGGUUUUCUUUAAUUUAGCCUUUAUAAAAUACUAGUGAAGAGACCCGCGCUUUGCAGCGGAUAAAAAUUUUAAUAGUAAUUAAUAAUAAUAAAAUAUUAAAUAUUCUCUUAUGUAUCUCAUUUGGUACAUCUACCAAAAAUAUCUCACUGUAGGCGGCAGAUAUGAACCCGACGAUGCCUUCUCCGGCGAUGGUGAUAGUGACGGCGACGGCGAUCUCUCCGACCGCGGCGGAAGAAGCAAUUGGGUGCACAUUAGUGAGAGAGAGAGGGAGUGAGGAAAGGAGGUGAUGAUGUAUAGCUAAAAAUAAGAAAUAAAGAAUUGAUGAACAAAUCGAAGAUAAAAAAUUGAAAGUUCGAUGGAAGUAGGAAAAUGGGCCAUGAUGAAUAAUUAGAGAUAGAGGUUAGGAUCGUAGAUAGUAGUAGGACCAUUUAAAUAUAUUAAUUGAAAGUUUGGUAGUGGAACCAUUUACAUUAAUUAAAAGUAUAGUAGAGGAAAGGUAGUGGGACCAUUUAAAUACACUAAUUGAAUGUUUGAUUAAUGAGACCGUUAAAAUGUAUAUUAAAAAUUUAGUGAACAUGAUGAAUAAUUGGACAUAAAGAAAUUAGGAUGGUAGAUAGUAGUAGGACCAUUUAAAUAUACUAAUUAAAAGUUUGGUAGUGGAACCAUUUACAUUAAUUGAAAAUAUAGUGGAGGGAAGGUAAUGGGACCAUUUAAAUGCACUAAUUGAAAGUUUGGUUAAUGAGACCAUUAAAAUGCAUAUUAAAAAUUUAGUGAUGAAAAGAAGAAAAGUUACAUUAGUGAGAGUAAAGAAAAACUUGCCACGUGGCAACAAACAUUGAGGAUUCAUAUAGUUUAAUAGAUGGGAUUGAAGAGAAUAAUGCAUACAAUUUAGUC